UACGUAGGGGGCUAGCGUUGUCCGGAAUCAUUGGGCGUAAAGCGCGUGUAGGCGGUCCGGUAAGUCCGCUGUGAAAGUCGAGGGCUCAACCCUCGAAUGCCGGUGGAUACUGGCGGGCUUGAGUACGGGAGAGGCGAGUGGAAUUCCUGGUGUAGCGGUGAAAUGCGCAGAUAUCAGGAGGAACACCGAUUGCGAAGGCAGCUCGCUGGAACGUUACUGACGCUGAGACGCGAAAGCGUGGGGAGCAAACAGG
rnacentral:rRNA from 1 species